rnacentral:lncRNA from 1 species
AUGGAGCAGCCCCAUCUGGGCCUAACACAUGGCCCAGACAGUUCGACAUGUCAAGGGAGGAGUGUGCUCCUGAGGGGUGUCUGUUUUUGUGUGUUUGUACCAGACAUCGAGGCCAUGAGUGCUGAGCCGAGAGUGAGCGGGAAAACCUGCACCUGUUACUGCUUCCAAGACAGUCCGGAGAGAGAGAUGGAGAAAAAGCUUUACAAUUCGCCCCGGAUGAUUUUCUUCUUUCUAGCUCUCCUCACGCUCGGCGUGCCCGUGGCUUGGCUCUCCCCCUCUGUGGCGGUGCGCGGAUGUCCUGCAGGUCGCAAACCUUUCCUGCGUUGCCUGGCUUGAGUGCAUCGAUCUCUUGGUCAAGUGGUACGUGGUCCUGCUGUUUCCACGGGACUCGGCGCUCUCUCCUCUCCGCCACUCACUCUGCCUCACACAGCUGCAGAGGGAAAUAUGAGGACAGGCAACGUGGUUGAGUGGUGUUCCUCUCUCUCUCUCUCUCUCUCUCUCUCUCUCUCUCUCUCUCUCUCUCUCUCAGGUUGUCAGCUGGUGCGAUGCUAUCUCUUCCCUCUUUUAUGUUCAGCUGAACUGCAUGCUACCUCACCAUGCCAGUUUUGCUGCCUUUCCACUGAUUUCUCUGGCUUUCUUUCGCCCCCUACCUCAUUACUGAAUCUAUGUAUCCGUGUCUUUGCUAGUGCAGCCUCUAGUGGCAGGCUUCUCUCCAUGCUGCUCACAGAGCUCGCGGAUUUUCUUCACAUAGAAUUAUGAAGGUGUGCAUCAACGCCGCCUAAGAUACAUUUAUUAUCAUUUCUGCAUCUGUGCUACCCAUUUGAAAAAAUGUCUGCAUGUUGGUGGCAUUUUCAUUUCCCACAAUUCCCCGCGGCUUUCACACCAAGUUACAAAUUAAGAAAAGUAUCAAAUCUGAAACAAUUUGAGAGGAAAAGAAAGGUUGUUAACUUUUAGAACGGUAAAAUAUAUAAAGUAUAUUUUUACAAUACCCAAAACAUUCAACCUAUAUUAAUUUACCACCAGAUGUUAUUUUUUAAUGAGCAGUCCCAUUUGUUCUAUUCAUGAUUGUUAUUUCGACCGUACUUAAUGACUCCUUACUGUCUAUUGUAAUAUUGACAGUGACUACUUUUACUGGUGAAGGAGCCAUUUGGGCAGAACAAUUUUAUCUAUAAAACAAACCUAGGCAAUAAUGCUAAUAAGAUUUAAUCUGUAAAACCAAUAAUGAUUACUUGUAUAAGAAAAUUAAGCUAAUAUAUGACAGAAUGCAGUAAAUUGAAGCGGACUGCUAGCUGUUAGCUGAUGAGCUAACACUUCUCCAGCUUGCUAAAGUUCAUAUCAGUUUAGAAGGACACAUUACUGAGUUUGACAUAACAUUACAGCUGGUUUCACAACUGGCUUCGGAAAGAUUAUAACAUCGCAAUGUGGAUUAGAAACAGUCUAAACAAGACAGAAUAAUAAGAGCGUCUAGCUAACAGCUUACCGUUACAGACAUGACGACGAUUCAGACACCAACUUCAAUCAACAAGGAAAACUGCGAGGAAACGUCUCAGGAGAUUUUCGGAUAAAAAAAUAAAUGCAGAAGUACUGGAUACUGCA